rnacentral:rRNA from 1 species
CUCCUACGGGAGGCAGCAGUGGGGAAUAUUGCACAAUGGGGGGAACCCUGAUGCAGCGAUGCCGCGUGGAGGAAGAAGGUUUUCGGAUUGUAAACUCCUUUUAACAGGGACGAUAAUGACGGUACCUGAAGAAAAAGCUCCGGCUAACUACGUGCCAGCAGCCGCGGUAAUACGUAGGGAGCGAGCGUUGUCCGGAAUUACUGGGUGUAAAGGGAGCGUAGGCGGGACGGUAAGUCAGGUGUGAAAUAUACGUGCUCAACAUGUAGACUGCACUUGAAACUGCUGUUCUUGAGUGAAGUAGAGGUAAGCGGAAUUCCUAGUGUAGCGGUGAAAUGCGUAGAUAUUAGGAGGAACAUCGGUGGCGAAGGCGGCUUACUGGGCUUUUACUGACGCUGAGGCUCGAAAGCGUGGGGAGCAAACAGGAUUAGAUACCCUGGUAGUCCACGCUGUAAACGAUGAUUACUAGGUGUGGGGGGACUGACCCCUUCCGUGCCGCAGUUAACACAAUAAGUAAUCCACCUGGGGAGUACGACCGCAAGGUUGAAACUCAAAGGAAUUGACGGGGGCCCGCACAAGCAGUGGAGUAUGUGGUUUAAUUCGACGCAACGCGAAGAACCUUACCAAGUCUUGACAUCCCUUGACGAUGCUGGAAACAGUAUUUCUCUUCGGAGCAAGGAGACAGGUGGUGCAUGGUUGUCGUCAGCUCGUGUCGUGAGAUGUUGGGUUGAGUCCUGCAACGAGCGCAACCCUUAUGGUCAGUUACUACGCAAGAGGACUCUGGCCAGACUGCCGUUGACAAAACGGAGGAAGGUGGGGAUGACGUCAAAUCAUCAUGCCCUUUAUGACUUGGGCUACACACGUACUACAAUGGCGUUAAACAAAGAGAAGCAAGACCGCGAGGUGGAGCAAAACUCAGAAACAACGUCCCAGUUCGGACUGCAGGCUGCAACUCGCCUGCACGAAGUCGGAAUUGCUAGUAAUCGUGGAUCAGCAUGCCACGGUGAAUACGUUCCCGGGCCUUGUACACACCGC